rnacentral:rRNA from 1 species
GAUGAACGUUGGCUGUGUGCCUUAGGUAUGCAAGUCGAACGAUCCUUUUGAGAAUUCCUGAAACUUCGGUUGAUGGUUUUUUCUUUAGGGUAGUGGCAAACGGGUGAGUAAUACAUAGAUAACUUACCUUGAAGCCGGGAAUAGCUCGUCGAAAGACGGGGUAAUAUCCGAUGGUCUCUAUUCACUUCGUGUGUUUUAGAGUAAAGAUUUAUCGUUUCAAGAGAGGUCUAUGUCCUAUCAGCUUGUUGGUGAGGUAAUAGCUCACCAAGGCUAAGACGGGUAGCUGGUGUGAGAGCACGGUCAGCCACCGCGGAACUGGGACACGGUCCGCACUCCUACGGGAGGCAGCAAUUAGGAAUCUUGCGCAAUGGGGGCAACCCUGACGCAGCGACACAGCGUGGAGGAUGAAGGUCUUCGGAUUGUAAACUCCUUUUAUAUGGGAAGAAUAGAUGACUGUACCAUAUGAAUAAGUACCUGCUAACUACGUGCCAGAAGUAUCGGUGAUGCGUAGGGUACGAACGUUAUCCGGAUUUACUGGGCGUAUAGAGAUGCGUAGGCGGUUUGAUAAGUCUUAAGUUAAAGACCUUGGCUUAACUAAGGGAGAGCUUCCGAAACUAUCAGACUUGAGACAUAGAGGGGUGAACGGAAUUCCGAGUGGAGCGGUAAAAUGUGUUGAUAUUCGGAAGAACAUCAGUGGCGAAAGCGGUUCACUGGCUAUUGUCUGACGCUAAGGCUCGAAAGCGUGGGUAGCAAAACGGAUUAGAUACCCGUGUAGUCCACGCUGUAAACAAUGGAUGCUAGGUGUUUGGUAUGACUACUUUCUAUCUUCGGAUUCUAAGUGGAAGUAUCAAGUGCCGCAGCUAACGCGUUAAGCAUCCCGCCUGGGAAGUACGGUCGCAAGGCUGAAACUCAAAGGAAUUGACGGGGGCCCGCACAAGCGGAGGAACAUGUGGUUUAAUUCGAUGAUACGCGAGGAACCUUACCCGGGCUUGAAAUGCAUCUGACCGGGCCGGAAACGGUCUUUCCCAGCGAUGGGCAGAUGUGUAGGUGCUGCAUGGUUGUCGUCAGCUCGUGCCGUGAGGUGUCGGCUUAAGUGCCAUAACGAGCGCAACCCUCAUCGUCAGUUACCAUCGGGUAAAGCCGGGGACUCUGACGAGACUGCCAUCGUAAGAUGCGAGGAAGGUGGGGAUGACGUCAAAUCAGCACGGCCCUUAUGUCCGGGGCGACACACGUGUUACAAUGGGCGGUAUAGCGGGCAGCUACCUGGCAACAGGAUGCUAAUCUCGAAAAGCCGAUCACAGUUCGGAUUGGGGUCUGCAACUCGACCCCAUGAAGUUGGAUUCGCUAGUAAUCGCGUAUCAGCAAUGACGCGGUGAAUACGUUCCCGGGCCUUGUACACACCGCCCGUCAAGCCAUGAAAGUUGGGGGUACCUAAAGCAUGUAACCGCGAGGAGCGUGUUAGGGUAAAACCGAUAAUUGGGGCU